GCCGGGAUGAUGGAAUUGGUAGACAUAGCGGACUUAAAAUCCGCUUCCCUUUAUAGGGAGUGCCGGUUCGAGUCCGGCUCCCGGCA
rnacentral:tRNA from 1 species